rnacentral:lncRNA from 1 species
AUGCUGCACCCCCCUUUAGCCACCACUCUGCUGGCAGAGCACGGGGUGUCCACCAUCUCUGCCCAUCCCCAGGGUAUCAGGGCUCACCAGGGCAGGGGCACCCGCCCCUAUCCCAAACUGGGCUACCAGGGCAAACUCACCUCCAGAUUCGUCCUGGCCUUGCGCAGCACAUUGUGGGUCCUGGUCACUGCAAGGGAGAGAGGGAUGGGGUCAAGUGAGGUCCCUGUGCCGUGGAGCCACCCCAAGCACGUGGGGAGCAGGCCAACUUGGCCGUGCCACCCCGCAGCAGGAUGCCACCGGGGCCACAUACGCUGGCUCACAAUGAAGUGCUCCAUGCUGUCCUUGAGCUGGGCAGUGCUGCGCAGCCGCUCGGCCGUGCUCUGCAGAGCAUCCUCCCUCUCGGAGAGCUGGGCCCGCAGCGCUGCGAUCUCCCCCUGUAGCGCCUGUUCCUGGGACGAGAGGAGCACCAUGAGCGGCCAAGCGAGCACCCAGCCCCACCGCCCUGCCAGCCCCCGGCCCCCUGCCUACCUUGCCCUGGUGCUGGGCAGGGCUGACGGGCAGCACGGUGCUCCAGAAGGCAGCGAGGAGGGACGCGCACUCCUCCAGGACGCGGUGCAGGGUGCUGGCGCUGCCCCAGAGGUGCCCCGCACCCGUCCAUCCCAGGGCCUGCGGGAAAAGGGUGCGGGAGCGGGUGCUGCCAGGGCACCUGCAUCCCACUGUGCCCAGAGACCCACCCUGCCCAGCCCAAUAUGGCAGGGCAAUCCCAGCAAUAGCCCCCGGGCUGGAGGCCACCUGCUGCAUGCCAGCCCUGCAAGCACCAGGGCUGCUAUUGGGCUCAGGAUCUACUUCAUGCAUGGUCCACAGAGCGUCCGACCCCCGGCCACCUCCAGCCCCAUCCUGCCCACGCUUUACCUCCUUUCCCGGGAGCGGGCAGUUGGGCAGCCCGAGUGCUGGGCGCGUGAGACACAUCAGUUCACGGGCCAGUGUCUUCCCUUCCAGGAUGUGCUGCUCCAGGGCCCGGUAGGUGUCCAGGUGGCCCACAACGUGAGCCCCUGUCUGUCCUUCACUCUUCCUCAUCAGUGGGUCUGCCCCACGUGGCUCUGUGGAACAAGCAGGGCGAGGUGA